GCCGAGAUCCCGCCACUGCACUCCAGCCUGGGCGACAGAGCGAGACUCCGUCUCAAAAAAAAAAAAAAAAAAAGAUUCACUAUGUGAAUAUAUCCAAUAAAAAUCCAACAAGGUGGAUAGGGAAAACUGGAAUACAUAACUGAUCCUUCAAUGCAAAGACAUAGAUGCAUACCCUUAAGAAAAAACAGCAGAGAACCCUGACCUCCCCAAAAGGACAAAACAAAAAUCCAGUGACUUGGUCCUAAUGAGACGAUGAUUUGUGAGCUCUCUCACCAUGAAUUCAUGUAAAUUGUUAUGAUUUUCAUCAAGUUUGGGAAAACAUCAAUCAAGCUUCUUUCCUGUGUGAACUAUAGGAUUUCAGGGCAUUUCACUUUUUUGGUUCAUGGACUAACUCUCGAUACUCCUUGAAUUGAUGAUAUUAGGACUGUUCCUGGAAGUGCCCAUGGCCAGUGAUCAUUUAAUUAUGCUUGGGAGUGACCACAUUCCACUUAAAAACACUUCACUAAACUCAGACGUGUUUCCAUAACUCAGCUUCCCAGAAGCUACAUCCUCCAAGUGCCCAAGAUUCCUCCAGUAGCCUUUAACUCUGAGGGGGAAAGAUCAUGGCAGUUGGCUUCAGCACCUUUGUGAGUUUUCAUCAGCACAUUUCAUUCUUUACGGAACAAUGAAAAUAUAAGAGAGGGAUAAAUGAGGGAAUGAGUCUGUUAGUAAUUGUGAUGGGAAGUUGGGGGAAUUGCGUUGGCUUCCCUGUUGUUCGUCUAAAUCACGUUGUUCAUUUUCCUUGACACAUGCACGAGGGAGAUGAGGGCUCCUGUAUUUAAAUGAAGAACGAUGAGCAUCCAGGCUCCUCUCUGAGUUAGGAUGAAAAUUAUUAUUCAUUGAGUACCUACUAUGGGUUGGGCUAGGUGUUUAGCACUGAGGACAAAAGGAAAAGACAAAUUUGUUGUCCGGGGUGCUUAGAAUCUCUCGAGCCUGUAGUUUGCCAUCCUUACAGCACAAUGGCUGCAAUCCUUAACUGCACAGCUUCUGGGUGCCAGGAAUGGUGAGAGAUCCAGAGAGGUCAGGCAGCCUCUGCCCACCAGGCAUAAGGUGGCAAUGCCAGAGCGUAGUCAGGCCCGAAGUCCCUGGGAAGACAGCAGGAAAUCAGUGUGGGCUGGUAGCGGAGAGAAAGGACAGAAGAGAAACCUGGUAUUCCGUUUAUCCUGUUUAGCUCACAGCAGCCCUAAGA
rnacentral:lncRNA from 1 species